CCCCCGCCCCCCCCCCCAGCUCCCAGUAUUGUCUUCCGGUUGCUAGACGACGCCGCUUUCCAGUACAUUAUUCGGAAUAUAAAAACUAAAAUGGGAUGUGUCACACGGCCCCUUCGCAUCUCCUAUCGGCGGGGCCGACGGCUGCUGACGCAGACGGAAGAGAAACUCGGAGGAGAUACCGUCCCAGAUGUAAAGGGGUGAACUCUCUCUUCCUCUGACCUCGACAGAAGUCCGAGGAGGAAGACUCAACUCUCUCUUAUCUAAAGGCCCGGUGCCCACAGCGGCGCUCAGCGUAUCCACGCCGCGAGAGUUACUGGGCGUUCGCGGCUCGCCUGCGAUUGAGGAAUUCUACGUUCCUCAAGCUGAAGGCCGCUUCGUGCCUCCUGGGCCCUCGGAGAGAUCGGAGGAGUUGGGCCAAGGCCUCCCUCCCUCCCUCCUCCUCCUCACCGCCCUUUUGAGGCUGUAUAUUCUGCUUCCCCGACAGACGCAGGAAAGUGGGGUCGUUCUAGAGGGAGACGGAGCCUUCCCGGAUUUAGGAACACAGGUGUUGGCCCCGCCGGGGCCAAAGGCUCCCGUCUCUAGGAGCUCCUAGGAGGAAAUUCAUCUGAAAUGUGCUCACCCUCCCUGGUGGGGAACGGGGCUGUGGGUGAGGCAGCCCAUGCGGGCAGGCGGCCCUUACACAGGCUUUCCAGAAAGAGCUGGAAAGCAGAUACCCAAGCCACAGGAAAAAGAAUGACCUCUUGCAGCCAAGAGCCUGACUGGAAAGUCCGCGUAAAGGACACCUGGAGGAAGUGGGGGGCUCCAUCACCUCCUCCGCCCACCGGUAACCCUUUCUUCCUCACUCGGCCGCCCCGCACAUCCGCCUUCCCGGAGGCUCACCCCAUCUUUGCCGUUCGAAAGCUCACUGGGUUCUCCCAACACAUCAGAGCUUUUUUUUUUUCUUUUCCCUUUUUCUUUUCUUUUCUUUCUUUUUUUUUUUUUUUUCAUCUUGUUUGAAAAGCCUUUUGUGAGGUUGGGAGUGACCCAAAAGUCGCCUCUCUAUUCCUGUCUGAGGAGAGAGUAUUUCCAGAUCGGAGGUGCGGUCUGCAGGGCCCGGGCCAGGCGUCCAUGAAUACCGGAUUAUGCUUCCUACCCCAGUCUCCUAAGCGUGUGCCAGCCACAGUUCCAGAAUGAACCAUAAGCGGAGAAAAAAAAAUUUUGUGAAUCAAGAGGUUUAUUAUUUUCUCCCAGUAAGGAUUUUGAAACCCAGAUUUCCACAUUUCUAAGGGUUUGAUGUCAUAAAAUUCCCAUGUAUGAUUACAUUUUAAAAAACAGACUCAUUGUGUGUGUGUGUGUGUGUGUGUGUGUGUGUGUGUUGGAAUGUAAGAGGUCUAGCAUACAACUCAGAAAAUGAAUUCCUAAACCCAGAGUUUGAAAGGCACAGACACAACGGGCCAUCGAGCUGGGCAUCUGCUACAACGAAUCCAUGGGAUGUUAAGUCUGUUGUCCUGGAACCAUCUGGAAAUUAAAUGUUCGUCUUCUGAAAAUAACCGGGACCUCCAAAUGUUGUUGUUACUCUGAAUGCUGUGUAAGCAGGUUUCUAUUUAAAACUUUCACACCGGCUACUUGAGUAUUUCUUGUUCUCCGAAGGGUACCCUCUAUACCUCUUGGAUUCUUUUCCACCUUCCCUUUUCCAUGUUAAUUUGGCUUAAUCCCACCUGCUGGCACGAAGGGAAAGAUAUUUAUAAACAUCAUCUAUAGGGGCGCCUGGGUGGCUCAAUCAGUUAAGCCUCCGACUUUGGCUCAGGUCAUGAUCUCACGGUCCGUGAGUUCAAGCCCCGUGUUGGGCUCUGUGCUGACGGCUCAGAUCCUGGAGCCUGCUUUGGAUUCUGCGUCCCCCUCUCUCUGCCCCUCCCCUGCUUGUACUCUGUCUCUCAAAAGUAAGUCGAUAUUUUAAAAUUCUAUAUAUAAAAAAAGUCCUCUGUAAAAGGAGCUGGGGAGUUGUGUGGUUUUUCACCUUUGCUGCUGCAACCAGACUUAGGUGGAGACCAGACAGUCCUCCAGCAGUGAGGGGUGGAGAGGGCCUGGGAGAUGGGGAGGAAAGAGUGUGUCCCUGCCUUUAUGUUAAAGAGAAGGCAAGACAUUGCCCAACACAGUUACACCUUAGCAGACUACUCUAGCAAGGCCCUUGGAUGCCCCCUUGGGUCCCAGGGUGCCCAAUCUAAAUAAACUCCAGAUCUGUCAACACUGGCUUGGGGCCGGGAAACCAGACCAAACCCUCGGUCUUUCUUAUUGUCUAAAUUGUCUAGAUCCAAAGUCCUCCUAGUCCUAAUUAUGGACUGAGAAGCAGUGAAGCCCAGACACUCCAGGGACUGUGGAUUUUGUUCCUCUGUUUAUUUCCCUAAUUGUGUAAAACUUCUCACUUCGGGUCUUCAGAGGGCCCUCCUCCCUGUUUCCUCCUCCUCCUCCUCUCCUCUCCUCUUGGGCACCGCCAGUGUUGAGGGCAGGAGCAGCCCGGGGUGACAUCAGCGGGGACAGAAGCAUGCUGGGGCAGACCCGCCGUGCCCAUGAACAAGACAGCACUGUGUACAGAGGCUUUUCAAGGCGGUUUCGCAGAUACGGGGAUGUUGGACAGCGAGGAACAGAGAAAUUCCAGAGAUUUUUCACGUGCAAGCGGAUAUUUCCUUUGAGAGUUUCUAGACUAAAUAAUACUCCUUGUGUCUAAGGGACGGUGGAUACUGCUGACCUGGCAAUGUUCUCUGUGCGCGGGGAGAGGCAGAGGAAAGUGAAGUUGCCUGAGUAAAUGUCUUUACUUAGACGAAUAUUGGGGCUGUUCUUCCUCUGCCUGACGCGACAUCCAUUUCAAAUACGGAGGAAGAACCUGUUGGCAGAUCUCGGGAAUAAAACGGGCCGGACUUCUAAGAAUAAAUAUACCCGGGGCUCCCUAUUCACCAUUUUCACAUGCCCCAGCCUCUGACAACCACCGAUCCUUUUACUACCUCCGUAAUUUUGCCUUUUCCAGAAUGUUCUCUAAGUGAGAUCACAUCGUGUGUUGCCUUUUGAGGUCGGCUUGUUUCACUUAGUAUUAUGCAUCUGAGUUUCCCCCGUGUCUUUGCAGGGCUUGAUAGCUCAUCAGCUUUGAGUACUAAAUAACAUCCCAUCAUCUGGAUGUAGCCAUGUUCAUAUGUAUUUAAUGCCAGGCUGUCUAAUGGGGGCGAUAUUAUUUAUUAAUAACUGGCAUUAUAAUAAAAUCUACGAUAUGACGAAAGCAAGACUUAGCUUAAAUAGAACCACCUCUGUAUCAACCUAUUAAUAGGAAGGCUGUUAUUAUUAUUAUCUUUCUGGUUGAAGUAAGUAAAUCGAGACCCAGAGAGAAACUGUCUUACACGUGGCAGAUAGGUCAGUGAAGGGAGAGACCUAUAAAGGGACUGAAGAGUCUAGAAUCCCAGCCAUUUGCUCUAUGACAGAUCAGAGCAUAUUGUACUGGGUUGU